CUGCACACGCACGCACAAGCAUACAGACAUGCACGCCGCACAUCACCCAGGCGUAAGACCACCUUCUCUAACGCACACGCACAAGCCGUGAGAACGUAAAGGCUGGAAUAAUAAGAACUGCAAAAAGAGGCGCUCGAGCCUUAGGCGAAGCGCCGGCAGAUGGAUCUGUUCGCUGUGAACACGACUUUGCUUGAUGAGUGUGUGGGUGCGUGGGUGGGUGGGGGGAGCACCUCCCUCUUCCCUCCACAAAACACACAGGCAGACAUCGAUUGCUGUUUUAUAGACAAGUUCUUUGCAUCCCCUUUUUCGCUCUCUAUCGUCAUCCACGAUGCUGACAGUGGUGGAAGAGGGGGAGUCUGUGUGUGCUUGCGUGUGCGUCUUGCUAGCGAGCAGGCGGGCUGAGCCCGAGAGGGAGAGAGACGGGGGCCUUUGCUGCCCCUCCCCCCCGUAUUUCUUUCGCGCUGCACAUCUCCCUCUGUAACUCAAGCGUGUCUCCGGCUACCAUCCUUGUUGCUUGCCACCCCUUUCUCUCUCUCGUCCUGUCGUAUAUGCCUUUUUCCACCUGCACCAACGCUCUCCCUGUUGGCCAAACGCUCUUCUCGCGCCUUCGGUGUGCUGCGCUCUUUGCAG
rnacentral:misc_RNA from 1 species